rnacentral:rRNA from 1 species
UCCUACGGGAGGCAGCAGUAGGGAAUCUUCCGCAAUGGACGAAAGUCUGACGGAGCAACGCCGCGUGAGUAAUGAAGGCCUUAGGGUCGUAAAGCUCUUUCGCCUGUGAAGAUAAUGACGGUAGCAGGUAAAGAAACCCCGGCUAACUCCGUGCCAGCAGCCGCGGUAAUACGGAGGGGGUUAGCGUUGUUCGGAAUUAUUGGGCGUAAAGCGCUCGCAGGCGGUCUUUUAAGUCUGAUGUGAAAGCCCACGGCUUAACCGUGGAGGGUCAUUGGAAACUGGAGGACUUGAGUACAGAAGAGGAGAGUGGAAUUCCACGUGUAGCGGUGAAAUGCGUAGAGAUGUGGAGGAACACCGGUGGCGAAAGCGACAGUCUGGCUCGUUUCUGACGCUGAGGCGCGAAAGCGUGGGUAGCAAACAGGAUUAGAUACCCUGGUAGUCCACGCCGUAAACGAUGAGCACUAGGUAGCCGAGGGAUCCGACCUUUGGCUGCUGUAGAUAAUUCACUAAGUGCUCCGCCUGGGGAGUAUGGUCGCAAGGCUGAAACUCAAAUGAA